CUGCCCAUCUCAACUUCACAGCAACCUGAAGGCUGACAUUCUCUGAACAAAAUCCAGUCCCCAGACUAUACCAAGCACACAGCACACGGGGGAAAUGAGCCUGCUGGGACAUUAUUAUUAUUUAUGCUGUAAAAGGAUGAAUUAAACAUUCUUCUAAUUAACCUUAACUAACCUUUGCUCACACAGCCUGAUGGGGAUUCCAGGCUUGAAAUAGUGCUUGUGUUUUGCUAAACCAGAAAAGUUUGUGCCUUCUUUCUUUGUCUGCAGCGCCCACUCCUCCUUCUAGUUUCAAUCUACAUGAUAUACCCUUCCCCCCUCUCCACCAAAGGGCACCAAAAAGCCAGAGAACAAGCCAACCAGCAGCAGCAACUAAAGGUAAAAGCCAUGAGAACAGCCAGAUCAAGUAAGAAUAUUCCUUAAUAAGGUACACUGCAGUGCUGAAUAACAGUGGCCAUUAAGGAGUCCUGUUUGUAAGUCUACACUAAAGCUGCUGUGUGGUUUCUACAAAUCUGCACCCAACAGUCUACAAGCAAAGAACUGACCAGGAAAAAUGACAACUGGAGAAGCAGGAGAACUCUUCAAUUAUGCAGAAAGUGGAACCAGUGUCCUUGGAAUGUUUAACAUAACCAUGGAGAAUAUAGCAGUAAAUGCAACUGAUGAACCUAUAGAUUUUAGAGGGCCCCUACCUAUUAUUAUAUCCCUUGUGUGCAUCUUUCUCCUCCUAGCUACCUGUCUUGUUUUCAUGACACUCUGCAAACCUGCAGCACUAGACCAGACUCUUUAUGGUCCACAUGAAUGCAUGCCUUAUCAUGCAGAAGAUGCUAGUGAACCACAGCUAAGGCUUUGGAAAAGGUUGGGAUCAUUGAGACGUUCGGUCAGUAGCUUCAGAAGGAGUCGACCUAUUACUCAGCUGCAGAGAACUUGUCCAAGACCAAUGCCAACAAACCAAGACUGGUCCUUUAUGGAGUCCACAAAAAUGUGAACUGUUGAUGUUAAAAGUAAGGUACUCUAGGUUUAAAAACAUAUAUUUGGAUGAAAAAAUGACUCCUCGAUUCUCUGAGAUCUGGUUAAUUUUGGGAGCUCAAAUCUCUGACCGACUUCUGUUCCCUAUACAUUCUACUCAGCCUUCUAUGCAUAGUAACACAAAUGAAAUCAUCUGACUGUUUGAACAUGACUGUGUUCAAUUCUUCCAUUGCUUUCUUUUAAGAAUAAUUGUAAUUGGCUUUAUAGAUAUCUUUCAAUGAAAUUAAAAUAACAGAACAUGUCACUAUCACAGUGGAUACUGAAUAUACAGCACCAUCUACUCAAUAGAGUUCACACAUUAUAGGACACAUUCACCUACUGAGGCACAGAGAGCAAAGUUCAAUUAUAAAAAACAAAAAACCAAAUGUGGAACUGAAAUAACCCAUAAGCCCAAUCAACAGGGCUGUAUGAAAAAUUGUAUAAUCACAUCCAGGACAUGCCUGUACCUGGAUGGGGCUAAACCUGUUCUCAACCAUGCUUACAGACUCUCUCUCUCUCUCUCUCUCUCUCUCUCUAUAUAUAUAUAUAUAUAUAAAAGGCCAUAAACUAUAGAGGAAGGGGUAGUCCAAAAACUGAUAUUCUUUUUUAAAAGUUAUCGCUUGGUAAAGAUAAUCAAGUAUUCCAGCAUUUUCCAGAUAACUUUUCCCCUCUUGGUGACUUUACAUUACUGGUACGGGCCCUGUUAUCCACAAUGCUCUGGACCUUGGUUUUUUUUAUUAGAUAAGGGAUCAUUCCUUAAUUUGGA